GUACGAGCGCUGGCGGCGUGCCUAAUACAUGCAAGUCGAACGAACUCUGGUAUUGAUUGGUGCUUGCAUCAUGAUUUACAUUUGAGUGAGUGGCGAACUGGUGAGUAACACGUGGGAAACCUGCCCAGAAGCGGGGGAUAACACCUGGAAACAGAUGCUAAUACCGCAUAACAACUUGGACCGCAUGGUCCGAGUUUGAAAGAUGGCUUCGGCUAUCACUUUUGGAUGGUCCCGCGGCGUAUUAGCUAGAUGGUGGGGUAACGGCUCACCAUGGCAAUGAUACGUAGCCGACCUGAGAGGGUAAUCGGCCACAUUGGGACUGAGACACGGCCCAAACUCCUACGGGAGGCAGCAGUAGGGAAUCUUCCACAAUGGACGAAAGUCUGAUGGAGCAACGCCGCGUGAGUGAAGAAGGGUUUCGGCUCGUAAAACUCUGUUGUUAAAGAAGAACAUAUCUGAGAGUAACUGUUCAGGUAUUGACGGUAUUUAACCAGAAAGCCACGGCUAACUACGUGCCAGCAGCCGCGGUAAUACGUAGGUGGCAAGCGUUGUCCGGAUUUAUUGGGCGUAAAGCGAGCGCAGGCGGUUUUUUAAGUCUGAUGUGAAAGCCUUCGGCUCAACCGAAGAAGUGCAUCGGAAACUGGGAAACUUGAGUGCAGAAGAGGACAGUGGAACUCCAUGUGUAGCGGUGAAAUGCGUAGAUAUAUGGAAGAACACCAGUGGCGAAGGCGGCUGUCUGGUCUGUAACUGACGCUGAGGCUCGAAAGUAUGGGUAGCAAACAGGAUUAGAUACCCUGGUAGUCCAUACCGUAAACGAUGAAUGCUAAGUGUUGGAGGGUUUCCGCCCUUCAGUGCUGCAGCUAACGCAUUAAGCAUUCCGCCUGGGGAGUACGGCCGCAAGGCUGAAACUCAAAGGAAUUGACGGGGGCCCGCACAAGCGGUGGAGCAUGUGGUUUAAUUCGAAGCUACGCGAAGAACCUUACCAGGUCUUGACAUACUAUGCAAAUCUAAGAGAUUAGACGUUCCCUUCGGGGACAUGGAUACAGGUGGUGCAUGGUUGUCGUCAGCUCGUGUCGUGAGAUGUUGGGUUAAGUCCCGCAACGAGCGCAACCCUUAUUAUCAGUUGCCAGCAUUAAGUUGGGCACUCUGGUGAGACUGCCGGUGACAAACCGGAGGAAGGUGGGGAUGACGUCAAAUCAUCAUGCCCCUUAUGACCUGGGCUACACACGUGCUACAAUGGAUGGUACAACGAGUUGCGAACUCGCGAGAGUAAGCUAAUCUCUUAAAGCCAUUCUCAGUUCGGAUUGUAGGCUGCAACUCGCCUACAUGAAGUCGGAAUCGCUAGUAAUCGCGGAUCAGCAUGCCGCGGUGAAUACGUUCCCGGGCCUUGUACACACCGCCCGUCACACCAUGAGAGUUUGUAACACCCAAAGUCGGUGGGGUAACCUUUUAGGAACCAGCCGCCUAAGGUGGGACAGAUGAUUAGGGUGAAGUCGUAACAAGGUAGCCGUAGUCCUGUGG
rnacentral:rRNA from 2 species